UACGAAGGGGGCGAGCGUUGUUCGGAAUUACUGGGCGUAAAGGGCGCGUAGGCGGCGACUCUAGUCAGAUGUGAAAGUCCUGGGCUUAACCUGGGGACUGCAUUUGAUACUGGGUUGCUUGAAUUCGGGAGAGGAUAGCGGAAUUCCCAGUGUAGAGGUGAAAUUCGUAGAUAUUAGGAAGAACACCGGUGGCGAAGGCGGCCCACUGGAUCGGUACUGACGCUGAGGUGCGAAAGCGUGGGGAGCAAACAGG
rnacentral:rRNA from 1 species